UACGUAGGGUGCAGGCGUUGUCCGGAAUUAUUGGGCGUAAAGAGCUCGUAGGCGGUUUGUCGCGUCUGCUGUGAAAACUGGGGGCUCAACCCCCAGCCUGCAGUGGGUACGGGCAGACUAGAGUGCGGUAGGGGAGAUUGGAAUUCCUGGUGUAGCGGUGGAAUGCGCAGAUAUCAGGAGGAACACCGAUGGCGAAGGCAGAUCUCUGGGCCAUUACUGACGCUGAGGAGCGAAAGCGUGGGGAGCGAACAGG
rnacentral:rRNA from 1 species